GAGAAAGUGGGAGGAGGGGGAGAAGGUGGGAGGAGGGAGAGGAAGAAGGAUGGAGGAGAGGGCCUUGAAUGUGCAGUGCCCCUGGCAGGGCCUCUCUGACUCCUGUGGGUGGACCCAAUCUUCCUCUUCCAGCACGACCUGGCCAGGCAGGGGAUGAGGAGGGAGCAUGAGGUGGGCUUGGCAGAGGAAGCUGUCCCGGGAGGCAGGGGAGGGCGGGGCUGUUUCUGGAAUCUGCCUGCCCUCCACCCCCACCCCACCCCCAUCGGGGUCCUGUGUUCAGGGAGAGGAGCCCCUCAGUCCGCCUGGCCUCCGGGAGCCCUGGGGCCUCCAAACGUAAGCGCAGGAAAAGGGGAAUCACCCACCACCACUGUCCUGUGUCUCUCAGUCACCGCCUCUCCUUUGACCAUGGCUGGCCAAGCUCUGCGCGAUGCCUUGGUCGCCUCCCUGCCCUACCCAGGGCACCCGAGAUGUGGAGGAUCUGCUCUCCAUGGGCUCCAAAAACCCAGGCCCCACCUGGGACAUUUUCUAGACAAGGAGGCCACCAAGGCCCACGCAGUGAGGGUGGACAGGGAGGGGACAGUGCUCCCAGCCCCGCAGGGCUAGGCUGCAGCGCAAGCCUCGCCGAGCCUCGGGGCCCCGCCCUCCACUCUCCUGGCGCUGGCUGGACCUCCCUCCUGGGGGUGGAGGUCUGUCCUCCACUCCCAGGAAAGGCUGGGAGGAAACUCAUCCAGGGAUUUUCCAUCCCAGAAGCUCUUUAUCCACAAAAGUCCAAGUGCCUUCUGGGAGGGAGCAGGACAGCUGCGCCCACGGGCAGGGGACAGGCCCUGUGUUUGUGCCCUGAGGGCCGGUGGUGGGGGGCUGACUGUGCCCCAAGGGCGGGUGGUGGGGCUGUCUGCGACCCCUCCCCAGUGACUGCGUAGUUUCCGGAACGCCCUCCCAUGACUCCCUCCUAGGGUGUGGUGUUGGAAGGCGGCCCCCACUAUAAACACCGAGGACCCAAGCCCUCCAAGCAUCUGUGGAACAAAGACAUUUUUUAUUUCUUCCUACUGCCUCCACUAUCCAGUGAAUUUUCCUCCCAACUUAGAACAUGAUUCAUCCAGGAGGACCCUGUUUCCAGGGGUUACACAUGCGGUUUCCAUGGUGGUGGCCCUGUACGCCGGUGAAGUGGCACAGGGACAGAGAGGCACAUGCCGGCCCCUCCGAGGGCCCAAGUGGUGCACGCGGCCCUCGGCUCCGCCCUGGCACCUGGGCACGGCGGCCAUCCCCUUCCCCUCCCACCUUUGUAGGGGUGAACCCAUCUCCAUCUCCUCCCUGUGAGGGUCCAGGGGUCUGGCUGGCCCACGUGUUUGCUGGGCACCUAGGGCAGGGCGGCGCCUGGCCCCAGCCUGUUUGCUGAGUGUGAAUGAGUCCGCUGGCGGGAGGCAGCCUGCGGUUGGAUCUCCCCGGGGUCGGGUGGGGCAGGUCCCAGGGCCACAGGUGCGGAAGGUGCAGCCCGUCCUGGUCCCAAGCGGGGGUGCGACGGCUCAACGCUGGUCCGAGUCAGGCUCUCCCUACGGGACGUCCCCCAGGUGAUCUCUGGGGCCUCGCUGACCACGGGCCUCCCCAGUCACCAACAGGACGGCAGAAGGCAGAAAACAGGCCGGGGGGACGCGGCCGUUGCCACAGGAGCCCGUGGCUGCAGGGAAGACGCCUGGGCUGCAGGCGGGGCUCCUGGCAAGUGUGGGGGACGCGGCCUCCCACCGGUCGGGUCGGAGGGAGCAGGCUUCUGGGGAGAGUGGGCGACAUCGGCGAUCCAGGAAUGGGUCUGCGACAGACUGACUCCCGGAUAGGAAAACACGCGUUUCUGGAGCAUCGCCUGUAACUGGAAAGACCCGGCCACACAGUCAAGGCUCAAUUCCAGGGGCUGUUCCGUCAAUCACGGGCCCUGGGACGGUGGCCCCGGACUGCGGGGAAGAGAAGCUCUGCGCGCCCUCGUUCGUUCCGGGAGCGCCUCUGGGAGCCGCAGACUCUGGAUAUCGGAGGGCGGGCGCGGCCCCGUGGCGGGAGACCAGGGUCCGGAUAUCGGAGGGAGGGCGCGACCCCGUGGCGGGAGACCAGGGUCCGGAUAUCGGAGGGAGGGCGCGGCCCCGUGGCGGGAGACCAGGGUCCGGAUAUCGGAGGGCGGGCGCGGCCCCGUGGCGGGAGACCAGGGUCCUGGGCUUGCGUCCCGCCCUCUCUGCGUUGCCUUUAGCGACUCCUCUGAGACGGGCUGAGGCGGAAACUCCCGCCCUGAGUGUGAAACUCAGGAGCUCGCUGAGGCCCCCUGGUGCUUCCCGGGGCCACGUGCACGGGCCUAAUUUCAUUUUGUUCCAUUGCCCGUACGCUGAGAAUUUCAUUUUCAGUGAGAAUCCGCCAUAGAAGCUCUGCUUCUGGGAACUGUCAUUUCAAAGAGACGCAGAAAAAAAAAAAAAAAAAA